UGUGAUCAUUGAGCCAAACUAACUUGUGUAUUUCUGCUAUAAGAGUUGUUCUUUGAGCAGGUUUUGGUUCAGAGUCUCUUAUGAUGUGAAAUCUUCCUCCACAUGCGUUGAUCAUUUCUCCAGCAAUCCCUCUGGAGGCUCCUGUCAAAGGUUCCUGGUGAUUUUGGAGCAGAAGAACAAUGCAGUACUGCAGGACUUCUGCUCCCAGCAGCUCCUGGGCUCGUUUCUCAAUAUCACACUGUUGUGAUUGUUGAUCUUCCAGAUUCAGGACCAUUAGAACGGCGUGAGGUCCAGGAGACGAGAGAAACAGCGCUGUUGUGAAGGUCUGUCUCUCUGUGUCCUCCUCACAGAGGUUUGGUCCAGUGACCAGCAUCAUUCUACGAGCCCCGUCUGUAAUUACUGGAGUCUUUACAAUCUCUCUGUCCUCCUGUCCUCCGUCUUUCCUUCCUGACAGAAGAUCUGCAGCACUGAAUCUGGACUGACCUCUGACUCCCACAACCAGGAUCCUCAGAGCCUCAUCAUUAUCAUCAUCAUCAUCAUGAGAAGCUGAAAAGGAAAGUGAAACUAUCAUGCAAAGACAGAAAAUGGGAUAGGAAUGAUAUAUAUGGAAUGUAUACAGCUCACUAUUUAGGUUUGUACAUUAGCAUGGACUCAUUAACUUUAACUUUAGCUAGUUUUAGCCAGAGAUACCUUGCGGAUGAACAAGAUGACA
ensembl:lncRNA